AUGACUAACAAUUACUACAGAUUCUCUUUCACUCUCUCUUUUCCUCUCUCAUUCUCAUCUUUAUUUCUUUGUCUACCUCUUUGUCUGUCUCCCUCUCUCCACUGUAACCAUCGUAUCAUCUCUCUUUCCUCAGAACAUCUUUCAUGUCUUUUUUUUCUUUCUUUUUCCCCCAGCAGGUUGCGCACACACACGCACACACACACUAGCGUUUGUGUCUCCAUAGGUGUUCUAGUGGAAAUGGACACGGCGGGCUCUAUUUUAACAAACCUAUCGCAGUGGUAAUUCUAAGCGCAGGCGGUAGCACUAUUGGUUCAAGAGUGUGUCAGAAAUAUUUGAGCUAUUUUCACUAUCACAAUUAUCGGCGCACUUGCUGGCGUUGGAGCGAAAAGGCUGAGUUUUGAUGAAUAAUCAAGUUGUGUGUGUGUGUGUGUGUGUGUGUGUCGAGGCUUGGCCCCUGACUGGCCAAUCAGAAAGUGCUCCAUGGCGAAAUAUGUGGUGUGAAAUUAUGGUAUUUUAUGUAUUGCCUUGGAAUCAACUCCAAUUGCAAUGUUAGUGCGUUAUAGUUAGUUAAAUUGCUUACAGAAAGAAAAUAACAAAACGUAGACCUAUCUAUGCUAAAUGUGUUCACUUGAACCCAUUUACAGUCCACAUUGUUCUAAGUAAUUGCAUGGCCUCAAUAGCAUUCACACUGAUAUAGGGGCCUACUGUAAAUUGCAUUAUGGCUGUUCAUGGACAUGCCGAACAUUGUCAAUAAGCAAUAUUACAUUAAUUAUUGAUAAGGCCUAAAAAAGAACAAAUAGUUGUAAUCAAAUUCUAAACACAACUUGUUUUAAAUAGGCUAUGUCACACUUACAUGCAUCAUCAUUUCUCCCCGUGGGCAUAUAAUAUUACCUUUUCUAUGCAUAUCCAAAAUGUUCACAGUAGCUGGACAAAGAUCCAAUAUAAAGAGAAAGGGAGAAUGUCCACUCGCCGUUAUACUGCUCCCAAAUAGACCUGUUUUAUGAACACAAUCGCAACCAUUUUACAGAUCAGAUCGCAUUCACACAUCUCCAGAAGUUGCAUUGCAAGUGCGCCACGGACGUUUUCACCAUAAAACCAGGAAGAUGAAUCCUUCUAAUAAGUUUGGUUGUAAUAACAUUAAACGAAAAACAAGCAGUUUUUUUUAACAACUACAAUAAAUAAAUGUAAAAUGCAAUGAUAAAAAAAGACACAUUGCUGUUGAACCAACCUUUGUUAUAAUAGGCCAAAGGAGGGCUUUUUUAAAAAACAGUUUACAGAUAACUUCUAAAUACGAGGUUCACCGGUAUUCACCAAUGUACUUAUCGCUCAUUUCAUAAUGGGCAUGGACACGUAGCCUACAUCAUGGAGGGUUUUUUACGCACGUCCAAAACGGGAACUGCAUGUCUAAAAUAAUGUGGGCCUACCUACAAUGAAGAGAUAAAAAGGGAACGUCAGCUCACUGUUUUACUCCUUUCAAACUUAAAACGGUCUUCGGAGCCAAACCCAUUAUCGACAGUCUUGACUAUGAGAUUCCAUUGGGCAGAAAAAAAGCCUUCAUUGAGAGGAGGGGAGGAUAUGCUUGGUUUUUAAUCAAAUAAAACGAAAUGGGAAAAAACAAUUUAAUUUAAAAAAAAAGUAUGUUUCUAAAUACGAAGUAUACAGGCACCAAAAAAAGCACAUUGGGCUACUCUUGUUUCAUGCGCAUAUGGGCAGUGUGCAUCACAGCCGAAUAGGCUGCGUUUCUGCUGUCACAAUUCAUGCCAUUACCAACUGUGUUACCGCUAAAACCAGCUUUUGGUUGGUCUAAUAUAUUCGAUCAGCGCUGCCUGAAAUUAGUACUUUGGAUCAUGCUUUUAAGGACACACGUCAAAUAUUUCCACCACACCUAUCUGAGCGCAAGCGAGCUGAUAUGAGACAGGUCAAUUACUGAACCUGGC
rnacentral:lncRNA from 8 species